GUGUCUGUAGGCUAGUGGCAAAAGGCAGCACUCUAGUACAUUGAGGUUGUGGGUUUGAAUCCCACCAGACACA
rnacentral:tRNA from 1 species